rnacentral:lncRNA from 1 species
AACGUCGGGAAGGCGGCGGCAGACAGGGGUGCGGCGGGAAGGCGGCGACGAACAGGGGAGCGAUGGCUUUGCGGGCAGAGCAGAAGGGAGAAGCAGCAAGCCCGCGCUAGGAAGGCUGCAACUCAUCAGCUAGCGCCCCUGCUCCUCUGGCUGCUCCUCCAGCCGCCCGUGUUCUCCCUCACUGCGUAUGACGGCGAGACUGGCCUCUGAGGUAACCCUCCCUCCCUCCUUCCCGUCUCCUCUCAUCCAGUCACCUUAUUCGUGGGCACCUCGACACAUAGGCCGUGGAAUGUAGGGAGUACGGUGAUUUGAGAGAGAUGAGCUUCAAGCUUGUAACAAUUUCAGAGCGUACCACCUCAGGCCAUGUUCAUUUGUUUCAUGUUUGGGAUUUGUUGGCACCAGGUAAUUGAUCACGAUGGGAUUUGAGUAAAACAUUUG